rnacentral:rRNA from 1 species
UACGGAGGGUGCUAGCGUUAAUCGGAAUUACUGGGCGUAAAGGGUGCGUAGGUGGUUUAAUAAGUUAUUUGUGAAAGCCCCGGGCUUAACCUGGGAAGGUCAAGUAAAACUGUUAAACUUGAGUAUAGGAGAGGGUAGUGGAAUUUCCGGUGUAGCGGUGAAAUGCGUAGAGAUCGGAAGGAACACCAGUGGCGAAGGCGGCUACCUGGCCUGAUACUGACACUGAGGCACGAAAGCGUGGGGAGCAAACAGG